UCAGGGGCAUAGCAGUAUCAGGGUCA
rnacentral:piRNA from 1 species